GAUGAAGAACGCAGCGAAACGCGAUAGUUAAUGUGAAUUGCAGAAUUCAGUGAAUCAUCGAGUCUUUGAACGCACAUUGCGCCCCUCGGCAUUCCGGAGGGCAUGUCUGUUUGAGCGUCAUUUCAACACCCUCGCUUUAAGCGGUAUUGAGGCGUGGAAUCCAUAUCAAUGGAACCAAGCUUUUAAAGUUGAAGGCAAGCAGAACGAAUGUCUUGAACAAAACAUAGUAAAAUCUUCACGGUUUCUCCUGUUUGUCCUCGAUGUUACGUCUCGCCCAAACAAUUUUUUUUUUAGUUUUGACCUCAGAUCAGACAAGGAUACCCGCUGAACUUAAGCAUAUCAAUAAGCGGAGGA
rnacentral:misc_RNA from 1 species